rnacentral:tmRNA from 1 species
ACUCAUUGGACCCGGGGGCGGUACCCGGCGCCUCCACCAAAAUAUAAUCAACAAGCUUAUAUUUUGGUGGGGGCGAAAUAGGAUCGACAAGGGUGUAAAGAUUGCUCUUUUACUCGGCAUUGUACCACCGUCAUCGGACUAAAUUAGUAGUUGCAAACGACAACUAUGCGGAAGCACGUCUCGCUGCUUAAGCAGUGCGAAGGCUUCAAAUUAAGCCUUAAACCGUCGCAGGUUUAAGCGGGGUUCGGAGG